rnacentral:rRNA from 1 species
AGCGAACGCUGGCGGCAGGCUUAACACAUGCAAGUCGAACGCCCCUUCGGGGGAGUGGCAGACGGGUUAGUAACGCGUGGGAACGUGCCCUUUGGUUCGGAAUAUUCUCGGGAAACUGAGAGCAAUACCGGAUAAGCCCUACGGGGGAAAGAUUUAUCGCCAAAGGAGCGGCCCGCGUCAGAUUAGCUAGUUGGUAGGGUAAUGGCCUACCAAGGCUACGAUCUGUAGCUGGGCUGAGAGGAUGAUCAGCAACACUGGGACUGAGACAGGGCCCAGACUCCUACGGGAGGCAGCAGUGGGGAAUAUUGGACAACGGGCGAAAGCCUGAUCCAGCCAUGCCGCGUGGAUGAUGAAGGACUUAGGGUUGUAAAAUCCUUUCACCGGAGAUGAUAAUGACAGUAUCCGGAGAAGAAGCCCCGGCUAACUUCGUGCCAGCCGCCGCAGUAA